UCCGAGAAUGAGGAGUAGCUACCUCAAUUAAUAGGGCUAUCACAUCUUGUUUCAUUUGGAGAAGCACUUCUUUUUCUCUUUGAGAUUGUCGAAUGAAAUGAAGUCUGCCAAGUUACGACCUGAUGAUGGAUUUUGAAGAGGCACAUUUUUUUCGUUUCUGUUUGAAUGAUUUACUUUGCUGCAGCGUUUUUUUUUUUUUUCAAUUAGAGAAUUAUUCAUGGAGGGGCUGAUUCACUUUGAGCUUUAUUCACAUGCUGUCACGGUUUUUUUUCUUUACUAUUUCAUAAGUACAUUUUUAUUUAUUUUGAUGAAGAUUAUGCACGGCUGGGAUGCUUCUUCUAUUGGUAGGCGG
rnacentral:lncRNA from 1 species